rnacentral:rRNA from 1 species
AAGGGUGCUAUGCUGCAGUCGAGCGACGCAUGCCCAGUUCGUAAGAACAGGGUAUGACGGAGCGGCGAACGGGUGAGUAACACGUGAGCAACCUGCCCCACAGACCGGGAUAGCCCAAGGAAACUUGGAUUAAUACCGGAUUCCCUCGAACAAUCGCAUGGUUGAUCGAGGAAAGGCCUUUGUGCUGUGGGAUGGGCUCGCGGCUUAUCAGCUAGUUGGUGGGGUAAAGGCCUACCAAGGCAUCGACGAGUAGCUGGUCUGAGAGGACGAUCAGCCACACUGGAACUGAGACACGGUCCAGACUCCUACGGGAGGCAGCAGCAGGGAAUCUUGCGCAAUGGGCGAAAGCCUGACGCAGCAACGCCGCGUGGGGGAUGAAGGCCUUCGGGUUGUAAACCCCUUUCAGGAGGGAAGAAAUUGACGGUACCUCCAGAAGAAGGACCGGCCAACUACGUGCCAGCAGCCGCGGUAAUACGUAGGGUCCUAGCGUUAUCCGGAAUCAUUGGGCGUAAAGAGCUCGUAGGCGGUUCAGCAAGUCGGCUGUGAAAGUCCGAGGCUUGACCUCGGAAUUGCAGUCGAUACUGCUGUGACUCGAGUCCGGUAGAGGAGAAUGGAAUUCUCGGUGUAGCGGUGAAAUGCGCAGAUAUCGAGAGGAACACCAGUAGCGAAGGCGGUUCUCUGGGCCGGCACUGACGCUGAGGAGCGAAAGCGUGGGAGCAAACAGGAUUAGAUACCCUGGUAGUCCACGCCGUAAACGUUGGAUACUAGGGUGUGGCGGUUGUACCAACGACUGCCCG